rnacentral:rRNA from 1 species
UCGCCGUUUAAAGUGGUACGCGAGCUGGGUUUAGAACGUCGUGAGACAGUUCGGUCCCUAUCUGCCGUGGGCGCUGGAGAAUUGAGGGGGGUUGCUCCUAGUACGAGAGGACCGGAGUGAACGCACCACUGGUGUUCGGGUUGUCAUGCCAAUGGCAUUGCCCGGUAGCUAAGUGCGGAAAAGAUAAGUGCUGAAAGCAUCUAAGCACGAAACUUGCCCCGAGAUGAGUUCUCCCUGACUCCCAGAGAGUCCUGAAGGGACGUUGAAGACGACGACGUUGAUAGGCCGGAUGUGUAAGUGCAGCGAUGCAUUGAGCUAACCGGUACUAAUGACCCGUGAGGCUUAACCUUACAACGCCAGAGGCGUUU